UACAGAGGGUGCGAGCGUUGUCCGGAAUCACUGGGCGUAAAGGGCGCGUAGGCGGCUUUUCAAGCGUGCGGUGAAAGCUCGGGGCUUAACUCCAAGUCUGCCGUGCGAACUGGGAGGCUUGAGUCUGGUAGAGGUCGAUGGAAUUCCGGGUGUAGCGGUGGAAUGCGUAGAGAUCCGGAAGAACACCGGUGGCGAAGGCGGUCGACUGGGCCAGUACUGACGCUGAGGCGCGACAGCGUGGGGAGCAAACAGG
rnacentral:rRNA from 1 species